GAGUCUGCCCCAAAAUGACGGGUCCAUCGCCUAAUUGGUCUAAUCAUCCGUCAGUCAUCGAGGCGACCCUCCCCCGCGCAAAUUCGGUUGUCCCGGCAGUCGAGAUUUCGGACAUAAUUAAAUAAUUAAAUAUAAAAUUUAAGGCGGCUGAAUUCCUGUUGCGAUCAGCAGAGAAGCCGAGCAUCGGCAAAUUGCUAUAGUAAGAAUAGAUUGACAAGCCAGUGCGAUGCCUUACCUAUUAGCUCGGCGAUUGCGCUAAAAGGCCAGGUGUGACUGGUCGAGUUCGUGUGUAAGUAGGUGGGGCUCAUCUGAAGAACAAAAUAAAACAUCGUCAGCGUUAUUUGGCAGAUGUGCAACUCAGCUCCGUCUGAUUCCGGCUGUUAUUACGUUAUUAUUCAGCUUACCGCACUGAGGCGAAUCCCAUGCUCACUCAGCCUCGCCAUGUUUGAUCAAGAGUUCUCCGUUUCCCAGGUGAAACAGAAUUGAACACUUCUGGAUAGGGCGAUGGGGUCGUACUGAACCUCUGCCUGGAAACAGACCCCCAUGGCCAUGGGAAAAGAAAAGCAAACUGAAUCCUAUUGAAAAUCAACUGACAGUUUUCACACCUUGUCAUGCAAAAGGCACAGCUGCCUUUUGGAGAUAGGCACAGAGACACUGAGUGAGAGAGACAAGGCAGAUGCUGCUAUGUGGAAAAGUAACAAAGCUGCUGCUACGAAGAGCAGGAUGAACUGUUUGCGUUAACAAUUAAGCAGAUUGCUUGUAACUGCUCGUAUUCUGCUUGAAGAGGCCCGAACAGAGAGGACUUUUGAGUUUUAAGGGACAAGGAGUCACUGAGGUGGGCCUUGUAGGCGAGAGUUGGUGCUGAAUGGAACAAUUUUCGAAGGACACUGGAGGAUUUGACCUGGUGUGGCAGGGGGAAGUGGACCUGCUGGAAGGCUGGGAGUAACUUGGAACUUUACAUCUGCUAGAAAUUAGGUGUACAGAAAACAAGAGGUUGUAGGAAGAUUGUGUUAAUUAGUUGAUGUGAAAAUACCUCUUUAGUUUGGUACAUUAGUUGCCUGUUAAGUAAUGUUUGAUGUUUAAGAGUACAAGUCUAAAAAUAUGAAAUUUUCUCCUUUUAGUAAUUUCCAGUAGUUGCUGGGAAAUUCAUCUUUUUUUAAAAAAAUCAUUGAUCUCCACGGGGAUUGGAACAAUGCCACUUGUUCCAGUUUCUUUGCCCAAUUAGUCCCUGUGUCAGAGAGACCACUCUUCACUGCUCCGCUUGUGAUUGACGACCAGCAAGUUCUUUCCGUAUCUCUUGCAAUUCUGGUUUAUUGCUUGGCUGUACAUGAGCUGACCAUGGUGUUAGCACUCUGGAGACAUAAUACCAAGACAUUAGGCACCAUGAUCCCAUCACAAUAUGUCCAACGCAACACAAAAGGACACACAAUUUGGUAGCACAGUAUUUGCGAUACUAUGCAUGCAGUUUAGAAGCAAAGAGGCAUCCACCCUCCUCCAGUUGUCAUUGUUUACCAUUCAUUGCUGCAUCCAGGAGGCAACAGAGACUGUAUGCAAGGAGAGGGUAUUGCAUACAUGUAGCUUUGUGGGCAAUGAAUCUCAAUGCUGAAAUACAUUGGUGCUGCAAAGUAUACCUUGGCUCAAUAUGCAGCUGGUAUGUGACCACACCCAGCUCACCAUGCUGGUAAAUACAUGUCAUCCUGGCAGCAGCAUGAUACCAGUUGGCCAGUCUGCACUAAUUGGCUGCCCAAGAUCUUUAGGCCAAAGUAUCAACAAUGGCGAUUCAUUUUAUACCUGACUGAUGUCUCCCUCCACAACCCAGUCACUCAUCACCAACACUCAUAUGAUGAGACCUAUGCUACUGCAAGAAAUGUCAUUGAGAAGCAAUUUGGAGCUGUUCUGCUGCCUCAAAAAUUAAAGUUAUCACCUUAAUUUUACAAUGGUCCAGCAUUUAACAUUAUUUCUAUUAACGGUGUCCCAUUCCUUCACAGAGGGCUUCCAGUGAUUGAGGGAUCUAGAAUGAGGGUCACAUGUAAGAUUAAAUGCAAGAAAUUUAGGACUGAACAGGAAACAUUGUUGGGGCCGGUUAGCUCAGUUGGCUAAAUGGCUAAUGUGCGGAUCAGAUUAGUGCCAACAGCAGUGUUUGAUCCCCAUUCCAACUGAGGUAGGUUCAGGACCUGCCUCCUUACCCUACCUGUAGUAAAAAUCAUGGCACUUUGCUGUGGUUUGAAAAAUAACCACCAAGGACCUGCCUUCGGGCAGAGAACACGAGGAAAUAUACAUCUUUUUUUAAACAUGUUUUUCGAGGCUAUGGAAUACAAUACUAUUAUUAGUGAUUGAAACAGAGGCCUUGUCAACACCAUUAGGUGUUGUUUGAAGGGGAUAUGGGAACCAUGCAGGCCACAUAAGAAUAGGAUUACUGCUUGCAUGGAGGAUAAACACCAAUAUGGCCUUGAUGGUCUGAAAAUUGUUUCUGUGCUGUGAUUUCUGUGGAAUUAUACACUCAAGUUGGGAUGGGGUAUGAUAUGGAACAUAGAAACAGGAAUUGGUCAUUUAGCCACUAGUGCUUGUUCCUUGCGCAUUAGUAAAAUCAUGGCUGAUCUAUGAUGCAAUUUCAUAUACCCGCCUUCACCCCAUAUCCCUUAAUACCUUUGGUUAGCAAUAAUCCAUCAAUCUCCACUUUAAAAUUAAGAAUUGACCUCACAGUAACUGCCAUUUGUGGAAUAGUUCUAUUACCUUUUUGUGUAGAAGUAUUUCCUAACUCCAUUCCUGAAAAGCCUGACUAUAAUUUUUAGGCUACAUCCCUGAAUCCUAGAGACUCCAACCAGGUGAAAUAGUUUCUAUCUGCCCCUCUUAAUAUCUUAAAACUUUGAUCACAUUACUCCUUUAACUUACUAAAUUCCAUGGAAUACAACCCCAGUUUGUGUAAUCUACCCUCAUAACUUUAAUCUGAGGAGUCCAGAUGUCAUUCUGGUCAAUCUACAUUGCACUCCUUCCAAGGCUAAAAUACCUGAACUAAAGUGUAGUGCCCAGAACUAAACAUAGUAUGAGAGGUGUGGUCUAACCAGGCCUUUGUAUAGCUAUAUCACAACUUCUAUCCCCUUCUGUUCUAGUCCUCCAUAUAUAAAGUCUAACAUUCUAUUAUUCUUCUUGAUUAAAAUAUCAUGGUCAGGUACAAAAAGUAAUGACAAGUCUCUUUGGACCUCCACUGUUUCUAGCUUUUCCUUUUUAGAUCCAAAUAGAUGACCUCACACCUGCCUACAUAAAAUCCACUUGUCAGUUUUGUUCAUCCACUUAAUCUACUAGUUCAUCUUUCUAAUUUAAUGCUUUCACCCACACUUUACAAUGCAGCCUAUCUUUUGUAACAGCAACAAAGUUGGACAUGUGGCUCUAAGUCAUUAAUACAGUGAAUAAUUAAAACCCAAGCGCAGAGCCUGAUGGGACACUAUCACUUGCAUCCUGCCAAUACUUACCCAUGGUCUCCUACCACUCAAUUUCCUAACUAGGUCAAUAAUUUGCCUUCAGUUCCAUCAGCUUCAACUUUACCUGUCUCUUCAGAGGGACUUUAUCAAAUGUGCAUCAAUAGAUAAACUUCUGUCCACUCUUUUAGUCACCUGUUCUAAAAAUGUCAUAAGAUUAGUCAGUUAGAACCUGUUCUUUACAAAUCCAUGCUAGCAUUCUGAUCAGAUGAAAGUUUAUAAGGUGCUCAGUCACUCCUCUUAAUUUUACUCCUGUAAUUUUCUAACAACAGUUAAGCUAACUGGUCUAUAACUCCUUGGUUUCCCCCUCUCUGCAUUCUUAGAUAGCACAAUGAUGUCAGAUUUUCCCAUCUGAAGAAAUUGUUCCAAGUCAGGAGAACUUUGGAAAAUAAUAGACCUGCAAUGUUUUCACCUUCCUUUAAAAUCCUGAGAUAGGAAGUAUCCCCUCCUGCGUAUUUAUCACUCUUUAGUGCAAUUAAUUUCUUUACUACUAUUUUGCUUAAGUUAUUUUUUAUGUAUUUCUGUCCAGUUCAAUACUAGUUUCUCUGUAAUGUCUGGAGUACUAUCUUCUUCCUGUGCUGUAAAUAUUGAUAAAUUAUUCAACUUGU